GUCUUGAAGGAUUUCGGAAGUCCAAGAGCAAACAACAGCGUCAAUUUGAGUCGAGGAAACUUAAGUUUCAGGCUGCAAAGUGGUCGGGGAAAGCUUCCCAAGAGCACUCGCCAACCAAGUAUCCAAGAAUUAUCAGUGGUCACAAGUUGUGGCCGAAGCAAUGACCACUGCAGGACAACAUUACCAAAGCAGGAAUACACUGGGAUCAAACCGCGGCGGAAGGAGAUAAGUGAGAGUGUGAAGCUGUGUCAGUCUGUGAGAAGGAAUCCCACCCGGCCACGGAGAAGCAUUAAGGCCCAGCAUCUCGCUUUGAACAGGUGCCUUCAGAGCUCUCAGUUAUUCACGAGGACAGACCAGGCCAACAGAACCGCAAGGAUAUGCUCACAGAACCCUACCGAGGACAAGUUGCUGUUGCCAUCAUCGUUUAUCAGUGGCAGUCCAUUUCUUCUUCCACGGAUGUCGUCGGCUCUG